CUUCCGUAGGUGAACCUGCGGAAGGAUCAUUAAAAGAAUCUGUACUAAGCUUGGUUACAAGCCUAGACUUACAAUUCUAACACAUUCUGCGUACCAUUCCUGUUGCUUCCGUGGGGUGUGGAGCUGUCCUGCACAGCUUCGGCUGGCCAGUGGGCUGGUUCCCACGGGAGGUAUUCUACAAACCAUUUGUAUUUAUUUGCCUUCUGUCUGAAUCAUGUUAAUAACAAUUGUUAAAACUUUCAACAACGGAUCUCUUGGUUCUCGCAUCGAUGAAGAACGCAGCGAAAUGCGAUAAGUAGUGUGAAUUGCAGAAUUCAGUGAAUCAUCGAAUCUUUGAACGCACAUUGCGCCUCCUGGCAUUCCGGGAGGCAUGCCUGUUCGAGCGUCAUGAAGACCAUUUCAAGCUUUUUUGCUUGGUUUUGGAGGUUGAGCGUUGCCCGUGUGCUCGUUCCCCUUUGAAAUUUGCUGGCGGACUGCUCCAUGUUCCAUUUGGCGUUAUAGGAUAACUCUUUCGCUUGGACUCAUGAGGCUGUCCUGCCCAAUAACCCCCAAUUAAUCUGACGUUGACCUCGGAUCAGGUAGGGAUACCCGCUGAACUUAAGCAUAUCAAUAAGCGGAGGAAAAGAAAC
rnacentral:rRNA from 1 species